UACGUAGGGGGCAAGCGUUGUCCGGAAUCAUUGGGCGUAAAGCGCGUGUAGGCGGUCCGGUAAGUCCGCUGUGAAAGUCGGGGGCUCAACCCUCGGAUGCCGGUGGAUACUGUCGGGCUUGAGUACGGAAGAGGCGAGUGGAAUUCCUGGUGUAGCGGUGAAAUGCGCAGAUAUCAGGAGGAACACCAAUUGCGAAGGCAGCUCGCUGGGCCGAUACUGACGCUGAGGAGCGAAAGCGUGGGGAGCGAACAGG
rnacentral:rRNA from 1 species